rnacentral:misc_RNA from 1 species
AGCCCGUCAAGAGAUUCGCAUGAUGGAGAAAAGACCACUAAUUCGUUCCACUCCACUCCUAUACUUAGCCCGAUGGGCUCACCGGGCCGACAAUCUCGCGACUCUUCCUCUACGCGUUAUUCGGGCUCGCUAAAGCCCGGUUCGCAGAAGUCGAGUAACGGGUCUAGGAGCAACAGUGGGAGACACCAUAAUCAUCGUCAUCGUAAAGGAGAUAAACAGCAAUGGAAAGAAUUUGAUGCUAUAGAAGAAGAAGGACUACUUGAUGAUGACGCCUAUAGUAAAGGUGUCCCUCGUCGAUGUUAUUUCUUGGCUUUUGUUGUUGGAUUCUUUUUGCUAUUCACUUUCUUUUCUUUGAUCUUGUGGGGUGCUAGCAGAAAUCAGAAACCUGUCGUUACGAUGAAGAGUAUUUCAUAUAAUGAAUUUGGGGUUCAAUCGGGGAUGGAUUUCUCUGGAGUUGCAACAGUGAUGGUAUCAAUGAACUGUACAGUGAAGCUGAUAUUGCGCAACACAGGCACAUUCUUUGGUGUGCAUGUAACGUCUACGCCUCUUGUUCUUUCCUUUUCUCAGCUAACCCUUGCUACAGGAACGAUAAAGAAGUUUUACCAAAGAAGAAAAAGUCAGAGAACAGUAACAGUGAGUUUAAUAGGAAAUAAAAUUCCAUUGUAUGGAGGUGGAGUGGACUUGAUGAGCAAGGAGGGUAAACCAGUAGCACCAGUUUCGUUGACGUUAGAUUUCAAGGUUCGAGCCAGGGCUUAUGUUUUGGGAAGACUGGUUCAGCCCAAGUUUUACAAGAGGGUUCAAUGCAACGUUGUUAUGGACCCUAAGAAAAUGAACGUUCCAAUUUCGUUGAAGAAAUUCUGCACCUAUAUAUGACUUAAAAUCACAAAAUACGAAGGGCGGUGUAACAAAGAGACAAACAAGAUGACAAAAAUAUAUAGGCAAGUGCUUGCUAGCUGCUAGAUUUGUAAUAAUUUUUUGAAUUAUUAUUAUUUUAGAGGAAAAUGAGGUGUGGCUGCCAGGUAAUUUGUCGGUUUUGAUUGUGAUAUUGAGUGAAUUAUAAAUGCUGGUUGAGGAAG